rnacentral:rRNA from 1 species
UACGGAGGGGGCUAGCGUUGUUCGGAAUUACUGGGCGUAAAGCGCACGUAGGCGGCUUUGUAAGUUAGAGGUGAAAGCCCGGGGCUCAACUCCGGAAUUGCCUUUAAGACUGCAUCGCUAGAAUUGUGGAGAGGUGAGUGGAAUUCCGAGUGUAGAGGUGAAAUUCGUAGAUAUUCGGAAGAACACCAGUGGCGAAGGCGGCUCACUGGCCCGGAACUGACGCUGAGGUGCGAAAGCGUGGGGAGCAAACAGG